AGACACCACAAAAAUGGGAGGAAUUGGUGGCUUGUGACAGCAGCUCUCCAAUGGCAUUUUUGGAUUAAACUACCUGAUUGACUUGGAGAGGAGUGGUCUGGAAAAGUCUAGAGAAAUGGAUAUAAAAGAACUCUACCCUCUCCUAUAACAUUCAACAAAAAUCGACCCAGGUGAUCUCCCAUGGCUGCACUGCUCUGUCUUUCAGAAGGGUCAGGGGGAUUUCCAUGUGAGGCCCAAGCAGUGAACGCCUUUGUCCUGGAAUGUGCUGUUUCUGGACUGACAUAAUUGUUCUGUAGGAGCCAUCUGAGUCUCUCAGG